rnacentral:rRNA from 1 species
ACGGAGGAUGCAAGCGUUAUCCGGAUUCAUUGGGUUUAAAGGGCGCGCAGGCGGAAUGAUAAGUCAGUGGUGAAAUCCUACGGCUCAACCGUAGAACUGCCAUUGAUACUGUUAUUCUUGAGUACACUUGAAGUGGGCGGAAUGCCACGUGUAGCAGUGAAAUGCUUAGAUAUCUGGCGGAACACCAAUGGCGAAGGCAGCUCACUGGAUUGGAACUGACGCUGAUGUGCGAAAGCGUGGGGAGCAAACAG